UGAGCAGGACUGCCUGGCCUGGGGCCGGGGCUGUGGCUGUGAGGGGACAGGUCGAAGGCUGUUGGUCAAACUGCCGAAGAAUUUGUUUCUAAUCAUGAGGCAGCACUGGUUUCUGGCCUCCAUCCCAGGCUGCACCAAGAGGUUGACUCCAGGAAUGGGGCAGGUGGUGUCUUCCUGCCCAUUGACAGUUAGGAGGGGCUCCAGAAAACGAAAAGAAGGCUUCUUGGAGGUCCUGUUGUGGUGCAGCAGAAACGUAUCCGACUAGGAACCAUGAGGUUGCGGGUUCGAUCCCUGGCCUUGCUCAGUGGGUUAAGGAUCUGGCAUUGCCAUGAGCUGUGGUGUAGGUCACAGAUGUAGCUCGGAUCUGGUGUUGCAGUGGCUGUGGUAUAGGACAGAGGCUAUAGCUCCAAUUUGACCCCUAGCCUAGGAACCUCCAUAUGCCUUGGGUGCAGCCCUAAAAAGCAAAAAAAAAAAAAAAAAGGUUUCUCCUGUGGCGCAGCAGGUUAAGAAUCCAGCGUUGCUGCUGUAGCUCAAGUCACUGCUGUGGCACAUGUUCGAUCGAUCCCUGGCCCAGGGACUCCCACAUGCCUUGGGCAUGGCCAAAAACCAACAGAAACCAAAGAGAACAAGAUGCUGUCAACACUGUAAAUCAACUAUAGUUUAAUAAAAGAAGUUUUAAUGAAAAAAAAAAAAAAAA
rnacentral:lncRNA from 1 species